AGUGAACGCUGGCGGUAGGCCUAACACAUGCAAGUCGAACGGCAGCACAGUAAGAGCUUGCUCUUACGGGUGGCGAGUGGCGGACGGGUGAGGAAUACAUCGGAAUCUACUUUUUCGUGGGGGAUAACGUAGGGAAACUUACGCUAAUACCGCACACGACCUACGGGUGAAAGCAGGGGAUCUUCGGACCUUGCGCGAUUGAAUGAGCCGAUGUCGGAUUAGCUAGUUGGCGGGGUAAAGGCCCACCAAGGCGACGAUCCGUAGCUGGUCUGAGAGGAUGAUCAGCCACACUGGAACUGAGACACGGUCCAGACUCCUACGGGAGGCAGCAGUGGGGAAUAUUGGACAAUGGGCGCAAGCCUGAUCCAGCCAUACCGCGUGGGUGAAGAGGGCCUUCGGGUUGUAAAGCCCUUUUGUUGGGAAAGAAAAGCAGCAGGUUAAUACCCCGCUGUUCUGACGGUACCCAAAGAAUAAGCACCGGCUAACUUCGUG
rnacentral:rRNA from 1 species